rnacentral:rRNA from 1 species
AGUGAACGCUGGCGGUAUGCCUAACACAUGCAAGUCGAACGGCAGCACAGUAAGAGCUUGCUCUUACGGGUGGCGAGUGGCGGACGGGUGAGGAAUACAUCGGAAUCUACUUUUUCGUGGGUGAUAACGGAGGGAAACUUACGCUAAUACCGCAUACGACCUACGGGUGAAAGCAGGGGAUCUUCGGACCUUGCGCGAUUGAAUUAGCCGAUGUCGGAUUAGCUAGUUGGCGGGGUAAGGGCCCACCAAGGCGACGAUCCGUAGCUGGUCUGAGAGGAUGAUCAGCCACACUGGAACUGAGACACGGUCCAGACUCCUACGGGAGGCAGCAGUGGGGAAUAUUGGACAAAGGGCGCAAGCCUGAUCCAGCCAUACCGCGUGGGUGAAGAAGGCCUUCGGGUUGUAAAGCCCUUUUGUUGGGAAAGAAAAGCAGUAGGUUAAUCCACCGCUGUUCUGACGGUACCCAAAGAAUAAGCACCGGCUAACUUCGUG